rnacentral:lncRNA from 1 species
CAGCGACAUGUUGGAGACCUAUGGAGUAAUGUCAUCUCAGAGGCAGUAUACAUAUCUGCUGCCACUUACCGUCUAUCACUCUGAAAUCCUUCAUCCUCACUGAAAUCAAGGAGCCUAUUUCUACAGUAGCAUCUUCAGUCAUCAUCCUCAGCUUUGAAGGACAGACACAAGAGGGCUUUCCAAGAAAGAUGGAGUUCCUCUGACUAAUGUUUUCCCCUAUGUUUUGAUAAAGUGACCACUCCCUGAUAUGCUGCAGAUGCAAUUGAGUAGCAGCUUCAUUCCACAUUUCUCCAACAUCUUUCAUGGUGAGGUCAAGAGCAUAUUCAAAACCAUGUGUGGCUCAGUCCAACUGGAGAGACCAAGUCAAAGAGCCUCAUUUCCAUAAGGUAGAAUCUUGUCCAUACCUCUUCACUCACAACACAGACCAAUCUUGCAGAAGCCAGGAGGUUCUGAGUAAGGUCUGCAUAAAGAAAUAAUACCAUAGUUUCCAAUUGGCCAGUUUCGUUCUCUAACCAAACAGCUGCUGCCUGCUUACUGAGUGUGCAUGCCCACGCACACUCACACUGACUGUAACUCACCAUCAGCUGUAACCAGGCAGUUCUCUCAAGCCAUCUGCAGCUGGGCAAAAACCUAGAAUGAUUAAGUCAUUGAUAGAACACCACUUUCCUAAAAAUGGCAAUACUUAAAUACAUCUAAUCCUGAUCAAUACCUUGAUAUUCUAUAUCAUACAUUUAAAAAUCAAGUUGCCUAAUUAUUUUAAAUAUAUUCCAAAUGAACAAAAACACAUUAUAACUCCAAAUCACCAUGUUACCACCACCAUGGCGUGGAACCUUCCUGUCCACUCCAGAAGGCAGUUUUGUGCCCUCCUGGGCACCUGUGUCGCAGCCUAGAGACACUUAGACAUCCACCGGGAUAGUCCCAGGGCUCAGCUGUGUUGUUUCCAUGUCUCAGUGAUCACUUUUCUUUGUUGCCUGAUGUCUCAACAUUUUGAAAACUGCUGUUUCACAUAUUUUGUCUGGUUUUCUAGUUGCUUCAGACAGGAGUUAACUACAGUCCUUAUUACUUUGUCUUUCCUGAAAGCAGAAGUCUUUUAACUAAAGAAGGGUAGAUAUUAAAUGUAUCAUCUUUAGAAUUUGAUGAGAAAGUAAAAUUGCUUCCUCACUGUCCUCACCGGAUUCACAGGGGGAAAUGAUUCAGAGGCUUUUGCCUUUACCUCCUAGAGCAUGUUCUUGCAACUGUUGGGCUAGUCUUAUCUGGCCAAACUCUGUUACUAACAGAAUGUCUAGUUAUUUUGCAGGCACAGAGUUAAGAAGUGGCAAGUUAACACAGCCAGAGCAUGCACAGAAGAAAACUUCGACCUCAAAUAACACCUAGAACCAAAGUCCCUACCGCAGAACUAAAAGAUUGGGAUGUGGCUGGAACUCAAGCACCUAAACACUUUCAAAAGGCUUUGCCUUCCAGUGUCUACUUGGCCUUCCAGUGUCAGACAGCUUCUUGCACCUGACCCACUCAGCUGAGGACACAGAUGUCAAAAAAAAAAUCAUAAAUACAGAAUUCCAG